GCGGGGUUGGAAUUGGAAGAAGCCUUCUGUUAAAUCGUCGGAAACGGCUUCAUUGUUGUCCACAUCGGAGAGUUCGUCGGUGUCGUCGGAGUUUUCAUCAGAAGCAAUUGAAACUUUGUACGGAAGUAUGAAUGUGAAGUUGUUUGCAUAUUGCUAAUCCGAGUCCUGUGCCUCCAUACUUUCGAGCGUGAUCUGCACUGACUUGCAUGUAUCUUUUGAAUAAAGUAGCUGCUGUUUGAAGUACAUGCUUUACUACCUCUCUCGGCCGGAAUUUCGUGGCUUCCAAUUUCAUAGCUCCUGCGCAGAGAACAAGCGACUUUAUGCACACGAAACGGAUUCAAAUGAUCCGCUCCAUAUACAAUUAAUAUUCUGAUUAUUUUAUGAAUUCAGUACAAAUAUUUGAAUAAUCUAAAUUAGUCUUUAUACAACUUUCAUGUGCAGAUAGAUACCUUUGAUGACAAGGAAAGGCGCGAAAAGAUUAAGAUUUCUAACCUGACUCAACCUUGGAAAGAUCAAGAAUGUCAUUUAUGAGUUGAAGAACCAAAUCU